AUCAUGACCUGAGCCGAAGUUGGAUGCUUAACUGUCUGGGCCGCCCAGGCACCCCGUCCUCUAUUUUCUUUGAUGCCUUUUGAAUUUUGUAUCCUAUGCACGUGGUACCAAUUUUGAAAAUGAUAUCCAGGCAAUGGGGAUCCCCUGGAGAAUUUCAGGCAGAAUUUUGCCUGAAAACAAGGCUGUCAUCGUUAAUGCUGCUGAUCAACUCUUCUGAGUCUUUGAGGGGACCCAGAGUUUCAGUUUCAAGGGGUGGGAAGAGGAAAAGAAAGCUGAAAAGGAGCCAGAGAGGCAAGAGGCAAAGAGGAGCUUACAUUCCUGUGGAGGGAGACAAGUAAUCAAGAAAGAAACACAAAAGGGCAGAUGCUGACAAGUGCUCUGGAAAACAAAACAAAACAAGGUGAGGAGGCUGGGGAAUGUGGGAUGGGGUGUUUCAUAUCAGGCCAGGUUGGGCAAAAGAUGAUAAAGCAGUAAGUGAGCAAAGGCCUGAAGGAAGUAGGAGAGUACAGAAUGUUCUGGACAGCAGGAAACACUAAGGCAGAGUCAGGUGUGUGGUAUCAUUCACAAAACAGCAAGGAAGCCAGUGUAGCUAGAGUGGAUGGACUGAAGGGGAGGAUAAGAAUAGGGUUUGAGCAGAGAAGUGAUGUAUCUGAUAUUCACUGUGAAAGGUUGACAGUGACUAGUGUGUGGAAAAGACACUAUAGGGGGUUGAGAUGAUCCCUCCAUUCUUAGAACAAUAUUACUAUAGAUAGGAAUAAAAGUCAAACCCCACAAAUACAGGCUGGUGCUCAACUGGCUGGGUACCAAGAAUAAUAGAAGAAAAGCUAUAGGUCAGAGUUGUCUACACCCCAACCAUGAGACAGUAGUGUGGUAAACCAGGCAAUCCUGCAAUAUGUGACAUCUGACCCAUGAAGACUAGGACACUGACUCUGCCACGUUUGGCCUACACAGGGCCCCCUAGCACACAGUUGCCUUAUGCUUGCAAUGCUUCCCACCUGUCCCACGGCCCAGGCUGCACACAGGCCUGUUCUCUCCAUAAGUGUUUUCUCCCACUGUUUUCCCUUCUCUUCUGGCUGUGCCUCUAAUGCUGUCAUUCAUUCAGCAACUACCAUGUGUAAAACUUAAUGAAGAACGCCACAGGAGAGUCUCUGAUAAGGACUUGGAGCUUGAAUCUUUUGUUAAUUGCGCCUAGAGAGCUCUGUCUGCUGUUGGCACAAAUCUCUCUUGUUAGCCCCUUCUGGUUUGCCCUCUAACUGAGGGCUUUUUCUCCACCUCUCACAGAUGCACUCUUGGAAUGUCUGCCCUGCCAGACAAAGGACUUCUCUACAGCCCAAAAUCACUGGCUUCAGUUUGGGUCAGGACCGGCAACCUAGUCUCAGUCUCAGCAGAUUCCCACGCCAUUGGAGCCUAGCAUAAGGAACAGUCCCCAGCUCGUCACAGCUUUGCUGCGCCCCCACACCUCAUCUCCCCUCUCCCUGACUGCCUCCUCCUCACCAGCGUGGGGAUUUGGCUGGAGUAGCUUGAGCUUUGAAUUUUAGAACAAAUCCAGAGAACCCAGUAGCCCAGGGGGACCUGGGAAGGGGCUAACAACACCGGAGGUCAUGUGACUGCCUUUGGCUUCUUAUUGCUCCUCAGGCUUUGCUUAGCACUGAAUUGGGGCCCCUGCCCUCCAGAGCCAAGGGGUAGGGGGUGGAGGGCAGCACAACCACAAAUAAUACCACAUAAGAAACUCUAGAGCUGACCUAGGCAUACAGCCCCAUGUUUUGCUUGGAGAGCGAUCCACACCACGGAACAGGGACAUGCUGGCUGCUUAGUCCGCACUGAAGGGUGAAAUCGCCUUCAACUUCUCCGUGCCUCACAUGAUGAUCGGCCUGCACCAUCUCGACCUAUUCCAGGGUGGUUGGAAAGCUAUGAAUCAAACAACAGAUGGGACAGUGCAGGGGCACCUCCUGGUCUCUAUGGUUACCAAGAGCAGCCUUGCCACGGAGAACCUGGAGUGUAAACAGCAGGAACCGGGUCUGCGGCUGCCAUGUCUGGAAGGAGCCCUCACACAAGGGCAAGGGAGGAAAGGGUGGGGCCCCUGCAGGCUCCCCAGGCCAGAAGGAGGAACUUCUUUACCUGAAAACAAAUUUCCCAGGUGUGGAAAUCUCCCCGCACUUAUUCUUGGCACACGGCAUUUUGAACAGUUGUUCCCAGUUUACUUCGAAGAUGUCACUUUUAAAAUAUUUUUUCAAUUUCUCUAUUUUCAUCAUAGAGAAAGAGUCAACUAGAUGUGAAUGUGCCUUUCACAUGUGCUCGUUCCCCAUUUAAUAAGGAAGUUCUGUGAGAAGAAGCAGUUGCAGCCUCGAGAGGUGAAAUUCUGCCCUGGAAACUAAGACGGGUGAACUGCUAAGUCCAGAAUGAAGACCAGACACCAGGAAGCCUGAAGCCAAAUGUCCUGUAUGCACAUAACAAGCCAAACCUUGGAGCAGCCAGAGGCAGGAGCGAUCAGGCAGGGGACAGCCAUCCAGAACAUUCUGGAAUCACCAUCUGAGGAGCAGAGGGGAGCUGUGUGUGCAGCCAGCUGUGGUCAGACAGAGGAAAUGCAGGGUCUGGCUGCUGGCCAUUCUUACCCUCGCUCCCACCAUCAGGAUCUCUGGCCCCAUCCUGACCCCUGGUGGCUGCCCGUGGGAUGAGGUGAACAUUCUUCCCAAGCUCCUCCCUGCCCUGGUCCCAGCAUAGCAGGAAAAAUGAAUCCCCCACCCCACAGGUCCUGGCUAGGGUCCCCAGGAAGUACAAGUGUGUUUCCUAAGGGUUUUUCAGGAGGGUUUACUCCACUGUGGUCACCAGGUGCCUUCUCAAUGUAAGUCCAGAGACCAAUUAAACAAAUGUAUAUAAAGAAAGCCCUUUCAUCUGCCAAGUUGGCAAAAGGUGUGUUAAAAAAGAGGUGUGUGUCUGUGUGAAUGUGUGUGUGUGUGUGUUAUAACUUAAAGUUAAUGCAGGCUGGGUGCAAUAACACCAGCACUCUCAUGCACAAUUCUUGAGAGUACAAAUUUGUAUAACCCUUCUGCAAGUGAUCUGAGCAAAAUAAAUCCAAAAUCUUACUAAGCAUUCUAUCCUCUGACCCAGUAAUUCUGUUAGGAAUCCAGCUUCAAAAAAAUCAAUACUCAAAUAACAUGAAACCCAAAAUUUGAAAUAAAUGGGAGAGGAAAAAACAAUAUAAGCCAAGCGUGAUCAUCACUGAGGCUGGAUGAUGAUUACAUGACAGUUCUUUAUUCUGUUUUGUUUUGUUUUGUUUUUGUCUGCUUUGCUAUAUGCUGUGAAUUUGCCAUGAUAUUUUUAGAAGAAAGCAUCAGAGAUGCAAAGAUUUGUAUAAAAGAUGUUAAUUUUUAAUAGCAAAAACUGCAAAUGGCAAAAAAAA